rnacentral:rRNA from 1 species
AUUGAACGCUGGCGGCAGGCCUAACACAUGCAAGUCGAACGAGUGGCGGACGGGUGAGUAAUGUCUGGGAACCUGCCUGAUGUCGGGGGAUAACUACUGGAAACGGUAGCUAAUACCGCAUACCAUCAGAUGUGCCCAGAUGGGCUUAGCUAGUUGGUGGGGUAACGGCUCACCAAGGCGACGAUCCCUAGCUGGUCUGAGAGGAUGACCGGCAACCCGGGAACGGAGACAGGGUCCAGACUCCUACGGGAGGCAGCAGGGGGGAAUAGUGGACAAUGGGCGCAAGCCUGAUGCAGCCAGGCCGCGUGUAUGAAGAAGGCCUUCGGGUUGUAAAGUACUUUCAGCGGGGAGGCGUUACCCGCAGAAGAAGCACCGGCUAACUACGUGCCAGCAGCCGCGGUAAUUC